rnacentral:piRNA from 1 species
UCACUUGGAAAGUAAGCACCACUGUGGU